UACUUCAGAAACCUUUCUAUUCUUGUCCUCAACUCAUUUUUGUUCCAAUUCUAUUUUGCAGAUAAUGAUGUCAAGAUGGGAGUUCUGCCUGUUGAUAACACGAUUGACCAAAGCGAGUUGUACUUUAAACGACCUUGGAGGCCCGAUUGGACAGUAACACAAUUAACGGCUUUUGUCGGGGUUUCUGUUGGAUUUUUACUCCUGAUUUUAGUUUGGCUGCGAAGGCAAAUGUCAGCGGGGAGUUCACCAGAGAUUGAAGAGGAAAAAUUAAAAGAAGAAAACAAACCAUCUCUGCGGGAAGCUAUUGCGGCCCAUGAAGAGCCUGUGAUCGAAGAGAAAAUAUCCCCACUCACCCUGGCGCCUUUAACUACAACACCACCACUCCCCCCUGUAACGACAGCACUGCUGAGGAGUAUUUAAUGUCAGUUGGUAAUGUUCUCAGCCGGUCACAACUUAAAAGUAGUUUAAAUGAUAUUCGAGGUCUUCACAAGGAGUUCUGGGACAUACCCUUGAAUCAUCCCGAAAAGUCCACAGUUGCAGGGUGCGGUGUAAAAAAUAGGUAAGUCCGUGUUAUCUUUUUUUAAAUUUAUAAUGGACUCAUUUCAUGAGACGUACAUGAAACAUUUCUUCUUUCCUACACAGUAUGCGAGGUACUAGUGAAAACACCUGUCACCAGAUUUUUGAAAAGGCUUUCUAUCAUGUAACGUGUUUGUUAAGA
rnacentral:lncRNA from 1 species